rnacentral:misc_RNA from 1 species
GGCAAGCCUCAUGAACUUAACUCGACAUAAUGAAUAAAGAUCACCCUGAAGACGGUAGAACUCCUUUUCAAUGUCAGAUGCCACUAAUCCAUCAUUGUAAUGAGAAGAAGUUGCAUUGAUCAAAGCCAAGCAAGCGCUUAUUACCCAAACUUCUCGCAGACAAAAAGGCAAUGUACUCUCAUGCAGUAUAAGGGCCUUAGAAAAGCUGAUUACAAAUGGAUAACCCCUUGAUACAACCUCAAAGGGUCGAUUCAGCUUGAAUAAAAGCUUUGAUUGGCAGGCAAAGAGAUACUGCCUAAAUUCAAAUUCUCUAAAGGAGUCAUCCUGAACGAUUUGUGUCAAUGGUUUGUUUCCAAUAUUGAGCAGUGCUGCCUGAUCAUCACC